rnacentral:rRNA from 1 species
AGUGCGAGGGCAUAUCGCCCUCGCUUUUCUGGACUGUAGGGAGGUCGAGGAACAAGAGCUGGGCAAGACCGGUGCCAGCCGCCGCGGUAAUACCGGCAGCUCGAGUGAUGACCGAUGUUAUUGGGCCUAAAGCGUCCGUAGCUGGCCGCGCAAGUCCGUCGGGAAAUCCACCUGCUUAACAGGUGGGCGUCCGGCGGAAACUGCACGGCUUGAGACAGGAAGGCUCGAGGGGUACGUUCGGGGUAGGAGUGAAAUCCCGUAAUCCUGAACGGACCACCGAUGGCGAAAGCACCUCGAGAGGACUGAUCUGACAGUGAGGGACGAAAGCUGGGGUCUCGAACCGGAUUAGAUACCCGGGUAGUCCCAGCUGUAAACGAUGUUCGCUAGGUGUGUCACUCACUACGAGUGAGUGAUGUGCUGCAGGGAAGCCGCUAAGCGAACCGCCUGGGAAGUACGUCUGCAAGGAUGAAACUUAAAGGAAUUGGCGGGGGAGCACUACAACCGGAGGAGCCUGUGGUUUAAUUGGACUCAACGCCGGUAACCUUACCAGCCCCGACUACAGUGAUGACGGCCAGGUUGAUGCCCUCGUCACGACGCUGUAGAGAGGUGGUGCAUGGCCGCCGUCAGCUCGUACCGUGAGGCGUCCUGUUAAGUCAGGCAACGAGCGAGACCCGCACUGCUAAUUGCCAGCAUGUCCCUCGUGGAUGAUGGGUACAUUAGGAGGACUGCCGCCGCCAAGGCGGAGGAAGGAACGGGCAACGGUAGGUCAGUAUGCCCCGAAUGGGCUGGGCAACACGCGGGCUACAAUGGCCGAGACAAUGGGUUCCCACCCCG